rnacentral:rRNA from 1 species
ACGAGUUUGAUCCUGGCUCAGAUUGAACGCUGGCGGCAUGCUUUACACAUGCAAGUCGAACGGUAACAGGCCUUCGGGUGCUGACGAGUGGCGAACGGGUGAGUAAUGCAUCGGAACGUGCCCAAUCGUGGGGGAUAACGUAGCGAAAGUUACGCUAAUACCGCAUAAGCCCUGAGGGGGAAAGCAGGGGGAUCGCAAGACCUUGCGCGAAUGGAGCGGCCGAUGUCAGAUUAGCUAGUUGGUGGGGUAAAGGCCUACCAAGGCGACGAUCUGUAGCGGGUCUGAGAGGAUGAUCCGCCACACUGGGACUGAGACACGGCCCAGACUCCUACGGGAGGCAGCAGUGGGGAAUUUUGGACAAUGGGCGCAAGCCUGAUCCAGCCAUGCCGCGUGCGGGACGAAGGCCUUCGGGUUGUAAACCGCUUUCAGCCGGAAAGAAAUCGCCAAGGCUAAUAUCCUUGGUGGAUGACGGUACCGGAAGAAGAAGCACCGGCUAACUACGUG